rnacentral:ncRNA from 2 species
UUAAAUAAGUGGAGUUAUGGUGCCCACCGGCUUUCGUCGGCGGGCUUAAAAGGGAAUCCGGUGAAAAUCCGGAACAGUACCCGCUGCUGUGAUCCUCGCACGGCUUUUCGCCGUAAGUCAGCAUCUGUCAUUACACGCCACUGAACCGGGCUCCCGGAUCGGGAAGGCGGCAGAUGGAGGAGAGUCAGAAGACCUGCCGUAAUGUCGUAAGCUUC